UACGGGGGGAGCAAGCGUUGUUCGGAUUUACUGGGCGUAAAGGGCGCGUAGGCGGUCAGCACAAGUCAAUUGUGAAAUCUCCGAGCUUAACUCGGAAAGGUCAACUGAAACUGUGCGACUAGAGUGCGGAAGGGGCAACUGGAAUUCCUGGUGUAGCGGUGAAAUGCGCAGAUAUCAGGAGGAACACCGGUGGCGAAGGCGGGUCUCUGGGCCGAUACUGACGCUGAGGAGCGAAAGCGUGGGGAGCGAACAGG
rnacentral:rRNA from 1 species